GGUGCUGAGCUUAGGGAAAAAGCAAUAAGACUAUAAGUGGGAGAGCUCUUCCGAAAAGGAGCCACCAUUACUGACCAAGAAACUUUGGCAGAAACAUCCAGAAUUGUACUAAAAUUUGCUGCUGAAAGUCACCAGAGUCUUCAAUCAGCUGUGGUCUUUGAGAAACGCAACAAAGAAAACUUCAGUUUUCCCAAGUUCACGGAGUUUCUGUUCCAGCUCUGAACCCGCAGUGACUGAGGGAGAGACUGAAGAUGGUCCUGAGCACCCUGAGUUCUUCUCUGUCAGGACAGAAAAGGUGUCUGGGACUCAACCAUCCACUGCACUCACUCCAGGGAACAGGUGACUCAGCUCCAGCCAUUCCCCAUCUCUGAAAGAAGUACCUCUUUGAGCCCCAAAGUGAGAAGAAACUAUAGAUUAGAAGCAAAGUGAGAAAUUCAUAUCUUAGACUUAAUUAAAACCAUAUAUGUGAAAAGAUGUCUUAAGGAGAAAAUGCCUGUAGAAUGAACCUCAGGAAAUGUAUUUUAUAUCAGGUUUGUCUAAAUUGUAUUAAAAUGUGAGAAUCAACGUGAUAAAAGUAGAAAAGCUGAAGUGGAACAACUUCACAGGAAAGGUGACCUUGAGGUUACAGUUCUGAUUGUUAAAUUAGGAUCUUUUCCCACUGAAUGAUUUCUUCUAGGGCUGAUAUGUUUUGAUUUUUUUUUGACUUGUUUGCUUUUUAUAAAUGAUGAUGGUGAUGGAUAUAGGUAGAAAGAUGAUAGAAAUCUGAGAACUUCCAUGUCGAGGAAUAUGCAAUAAGAAAAUAAUAAAAUAUAUAUGCAAAAAAUAUGUAUAAAAUUGAAUCUAUGCCAUUACAUUACAUAUAACCUGGUUAGACGGUAAUGUAUUAAAUCAAUUAAAAUAUUUGUAUGCAAUAAAAUAGCAUGCAAAUGUUUAAAGUAUAUUGCAUUGAAACAUUUUGAUAUGGAAAAUGUACCUGGCAUGAUUUAAAUGAGAGAAAUAAAACUGUUUAUAUAAUUUAAUUAUAUUUUUAAAAACAUACAUACAGUGAAUAAUGGAAAACUAUAUGUACAAGUUAUUAGCAAUGAUCACUUUUGGCCAUAGGUUUCACAAAUGUAUUAUUUUAUGGAAUGUCAUGUUUUACUAAGACUUAGGAAAACUUGAUGUCAGGAUAAAUGCUACUUUGUUCACAGAAUGAAUCAGACCAUUGAAAGUUUAAUUUGUAAUUAUAAAAUUUCUAAGAGCCUAGCAUUAUCUAAAUACAAAGAAAACCAAAAAGUGUAAAUAAUUUUAAUUCUAAAUAUACUUUUACCUAAAAGGUAAACUUUCAUAUAAUAUUUAUAUCAUUUUCUUCAAUAGUAGUGUUAAAUUAGUGAUGUUCUCCAAAAGAAGUCAGUAAACAUGUGUUAGGAUUAGACAAGUGAAGCUGAGAAUUCAUUAUUCAGUUAACAACUUAGGUACUCUCCCAAAUUGUAUACGGUUUCUGUUGAAUGAGAAUAUUAGAAAUUUGGCAACAAUCCUGAUAAAUAUAUUAAUAACUUAAUAUCCAAUAAAUCCAGAUACUGAUUUAAAAACAUGAUUCUUCAAUAAGAAACCAA
ensembl:lncRNA